rnacentral:rRNA from 1 species
UACGUAGGCAGCGAGCGUUGUUCGGAGUUACUGGGCGUAAAGCGUGCGUAGGCGGUGUCUUAAGUUUGUUGUGAAAUCUCCCGGCUUAACCGGGAGGGUGCGGCGAAUACUGAGAUGCUGGAGUGCCGGAGAGGUAAGCGGAAUUCCUGGUGUAGCGGUGAAAUGCGUAGAUAUCAGGAGGAACACCGGUGGUGUAGACGGCUUUCUGGACCGUAACUGACGCUGAGGCGCGAAAGCGUGGGUAGCAAACAGG